GCAGCCGCGGUAAUACGUAGGUGGCGAGCGUUAUCCGGAUUUACUGGGUGUAAAGGGUGUGUAGGCGGACUUGCAAGUCAGAUGUGAAACCGAUCGGCUCAACCGAUCGACUGCAUUUGAAACUGCAGGCCUUGAGAGUCGGAGAGGUAAGCGGAAUUCCCAGUGUAGCGGUGAAAUGCGUAGAUAUUGGGAGGAACACCAGUGGCGAAGGCGGCUUACUGGACGACAACUGACGCUGAGACACGAAAGCGUGGGGAGCAAACAGGAUUAGAUACCCC
rnacentral:rRNA from 1 species